GUGUUCGCUUUGGCAGCACAUAUACUAAAAUUGGAACGAUACAGAGAAGAUUAGCAUGGCCCCUGCGUAAGGAUGACAUGCAAAUUUGUGAUGCGUUCCAUAUGUUU
ensembl:snRNA U6 U6 spliceosomal RNA